GGCAGGUGUAUAUGAUGCAUUGUAGAAUAUACGUGAGGCAAUAUGACAUACGUGAGGCAAUAGAUGGGCCGGUAAUCGAGGAAUAUACUUAUUCUUUUAGCAAUCCAAAUGCUGAAAGCCAUGAAUUUCAAUUGCUCUGGAAACAAAAAGACGGGCGUAAUGUUCAAGUGUAAUUCUACCGAUGAAGUUACUCCAAAUCAAAUGAAUUAAGACCUACUAGAAAAAAAAUAUUUUAUAAAAUUUUCAAGUUGAUUAAAUACAUGCAAUUUGCUUACUUUGAUUAAAGGUGCCCCUGAACAGGGAUGUUGUUUGUUUACAUACUAAUUAAAACUAGCCAUGUAAAUGGAAGAGCCAACUUGCCAUUGUGCCAAAUUUUAGUUCUCCAUAAACUUUGAAGCUACAAUAUACUAUCUUAUGAUUAAAUGUUCUUUAGUUUCCAACGGGGAGUGUUGUGUUUUAGAUUUAUGUAUCACAGGAAUGCAACACAGUUGAUGGAAUUGUUAUAUAUGUAGAUAGAUUCAAAGCUAAUAUAUUCAUGUACGUAUUAAUGGAUCA